UGGGGAAUAUUGCGCAAUGGGGGGAACCCUGACGCAGCCAUGCCGCGUGAAUGAAGAAGGCCUUAGGGUUGUAAAGUUCUUUCGGUAUUGAGGAAGGUUGAUGUGUUAAUAGCACAUCAAAUUGACGUUAAAUACAGAAGAAGCACCGGCUAACUCCGUGCCAGCAGCCGCGGUAAUACGGAGGGUGCGAGCGUUAAUCGGAAUAACUGGGCGUAAAGGGCACGCAGGCGGUUAUUUAAGUGAGGUGUGAAAGCCCUGGGCUUAACCUAGGAAUCGCAUUUCAGACUGGGUAACUAGAGUACUUUAGGGAGGAGUAGAAUUCCACGUGUAGCGGUGAAAUGCGUAGAGAUGUGGAGGAAUACCGAAGGCGAAGGCAGCCCCUUGGGAAUGUACUGACGCUCAUGUGCGAAAGCGUGGGGAGCAAACAGGAUUAGAUACCCUGGUAGUCCACGCUGUAAACGCUGUCGAUUUGGGGGUUGGGGUUUAACUCUGGCGCCCGUAGCUAACGUGAUAAAUCGACCGCCUGGGGAGUACGGCCGCAAGGUU
rnacentral:rRNA from 1 species